rnacentral:rRNA from 1 species
GUACACAAAAAUGCACAUGCUGUGAGCUCGAUGAGUAGGGCGGGACACGUGGUAUCCUGUCUGAAUAUGGGGGGACCAUCCUCCAAGGCUAAAUACUCCUGACUGACCGAUAGUGAACCAGUACCGUGAGGGAAAGGCGAAAAGAACCCCGGCGAGGGGAGUGAAAAAGAACCUGAAACCGUGUACGUACAAGCAGUGGGAGCACGCUUAGGCGUGUGACUGCGUACCUUUUGUAUAAUGGGUCAGCGACUUAUAUUCUGUAGCAAGGUUAACCGAAUAGGGGAGCCGAAGGGAAACCGAGUCUUAACUGGGCGUUAAGUUGCAGGGUAUAGACCCGAAACCCGGUGAUCUAGCCAUGGGCAGGUUGAAGGUUGGGUAACACUAACUGGAGGACCGAACCGACUAAUGUUGAAAAAUUAGCGGAUGACUUGUGGCUGGGGGUGAAAGGCCAAUCAAACCGGGAGAUAGCUGGUUCUCCCCGAAAGCUAUUUAGGUAGCGCCUCGUGAAUUCAUCUCCGGGGGUAGAGCACUGUUUCGGCAAGGGGGUCAUCCCGACUUACCAACCCGAUGCAAACUGCGAAUACCGGAGAAUGUUAUCACGGGAGACACACGGCGGGUGCUAACGUCCGUCGUGAAGAGGGAAACAACCCAGACCGCCAGCUAAGGUCCCAAAGUCAUGGUUAAGUGGGAAACGAUGUGGGAAGGCCCAGACAGCCAGGAUGUUGGCUUAGAAGCAGCCAUCAUUUAAAGAAAGCGUAAUAGCUCACUGGUCGAGUCGGCCUGCGCGGAAGAUGUAACGGGGCUAAACCAUGCACCGAAGCUGCGGCAGCGACACUGUGUGUUGUUGGGUAGGGGAGCGUUCUGUAAGCCUGCGAAGGUGUGCUGUGAGGCAUGCUGGAGGUAUCAGAAGUGCGAAUGCUGACAUAAGUAACGAUAAAGCGGGUGAAAAGCCCGCUCGCCGGAAGACCAAGGGUUCCUGUCCAACGUUAAUCGGGGCAGGGUGAGUCGACCCCUAAGGCGAGGCCGAAAGGCGUAGUCGAUGGGAAACAGGUUAAUAUUCCUGUACUUGGUGUUACUGCGAAGGGGGGACGGAGAAGGCUAUGUUGGCCGGGCGACGGUUGUCCCGGUUUAAGCGUGUAGGCUGGUUUUCCAGGCAAAUCCGGAAAAUCAAGGCUGAGGCGUGAUGACGAGGCACUACGGUGCUGAAGCAACAAAUGCCCUGCUUCCAGGAAAAGCCUCUAAGCAUCAGGUAACAUCAAAUCGUACCCCAAACCGACACAGGUGGUCAGGUAGAGAAUACCAAGGCGCUUGAGAGAACUCGGGUGAAGGAACUAGGCAAAAUGGUGCCGUAACUUCGGGAGAAGGCACGCUGAUAUGUAGGUGAAGUCCCUCGCGGAUGGAGCUGAAAUCAGUCGAAGAUACCAGCUGGCUGCAACUGUUUAUUAAAAACACAGCACUGUGCAAACACGAAAGUGGACGUAUACGGUGUGACGCCUGCCCGGUGCCGGAAGGUUAAUUGAUGGGGUCAGCGCAAGCGAAGCUCUUGAUCGAAGCCCCGGUAAACGGCGGCCGUAACUAUAACGGUCCUAAGGUAGCGAAAUUCCUUGUCGGGUAAGUUCCGACCUG